rnacentral:rRNA from 1 species
AUUGAACGCUGGCGGCAUGCCUUACACAUGCAAGUCGAACGGCAGCACGGGAGUAAUCCUGGUGGCGAGUGGCGAACGGGUGAGUAAUACAUCGGAACGUGCCCAGUAGUGGGGGAUAGCCCGGCGAAAGCCGGAUUAAUACCGCAUACGACCUACGGGUGAAAGCGGGGGAUCGCAAGACCUCGCGCUAUCGGAGCGGCCGAUGUCAGAUUAGGUUGUUGGUGGGGUAAAGGCCACCAAGCCGACGAUCUGUAGCUGGUCUGAGAGGACGACCAGCCACACUGGGACUGAGACACGGCCCAGACUCCUACGGGAGGCAGCAGUGGGGAAUUUUGGACAAUGGGGGCAACCCUGAUCCAGCCAUGCCGCGUGCGGGAAGAAGGCCUGG